UCAGGAGUCUUCCCACGCGGCGCCCUUCCCAGUCUCUCGGCUUCUUGGUGGUAGCUGUCUCUUCGGCCUUUUUACUUAAUUGCCAGGCUUCUAGGUAAAGACGAUGCAUUGAGUACACAUUUCUUUUUUUUUUUACACAUUUAUUUCUAAACACUCUUGAAACUCUACUGAAAUUAUAAUAAUGGGAUUAAAAAGGAGGCAAUAACCACAGGGAAAAGAAGAAACAGCAACAAGAUUUUGGAAGCUCGAAUGUAGAAGGAAGAGGUGCUAAAGGAACACUCGAGGAAUGAGAGAGUGAUCUAUCCUUCUCCACAGACUCCUCCUCUUUUUUGUCAUCAAACUUGGCCCAACUGUAAUCUGUCUUAGGACCCAUCAUCUGUUAUCUGGUCUACACUGCAAGCUCCAGGGUAGGGACCCUGACCUCAUCAUUCACCAGCUCAAGGGCUUUGCACUCAGUUUUCUUUUUGUUCACAAGACUCGUCCUUCUUCCUGUCACUGUCCUUUUCCCAGCCCAGGUGUCACUGCUGAAAGUACCUCCCCUGACCUUUCUAUCUAAAGUCAUUCCAGCCUCCCUCUCUCAGUCGCAUCAUCCUGAAUUAAGUUGUUUAUUUUCUGUCUCUUCAGGAGGGCAGAGAGCUUGUGAGUGGUGUUCAGGGCUGUAUUCAGAGAAUAAAUCCUGCCCUCACUUCACUCUGCUAUACCUUUUAGCUACCAUCUAAUUUUACAUGUUCCUUUUGCCCUUGCCAGGAAUCUCCUUAUUUUCUACUCCAAUCAAGUGUACAGAGGUGCUUCUCCUGGGAGGUUCACCACAUCAUGAGAAUAUGUCUGGUUCUGUGCAGAAAGUGUAUGAAAUCCUUUGGCUCAGUUUCAAGCAUCACA